CCGACGGUGAGGGGCGAAAGCUGGGGGAGCAAACCGGAUUAGAUACCCGGGUAGUCCCAGCUGUAAACGAUGCGCGUUAGGUGUGUCAGUGACCACGUGUCACUGAUGUGCCGAAGGGAAACCGUGAAACGCGCCGCCUGGGGAGUACGGUCGCAAGGCUGAAACUUAAAGGAAUUGGCGGGGGAGCACCACAACGGGUGGAGCCCGCGGUUUAAUCGGACUCAACGCCGGAAAUCUCACCGGAUAA
rnacentral:rRNA from 1 species